UACAGAGGUGGCUAGCGUUGUUCGGAAUUACUGGGCGUAAAGGGCGCGUAGGCGGCCUCUUAAGUCGAACGUGAAAUCCCCGGGCUCAACCCGGGAACUGCGUCCGAUACUGUCGUGCUAGAGUGCGGAAGGGGCUACUGGAAUUCUCGGUGUAGCGGUGAAAUGCGUAGAUAUCGAGAGGAACACCUGCGGCGAAGGCGGGUAGCUGGGCCGACACUGACGCUGAGGCGCGAAAGCCAGGGGAGCGAACGGG
rnacentral:rRNA from 1 species